rnacentral:rRNA from 1 species
CAAUAGCGUAUAUUAAAGUUGUUGCAGUUAAAAAGCUCGUAGUUGGAUUUCUGAUCGAGACAUCAGGUCGGGUCCGAGAGGAUCAUGUACUUUGAUUUUGUUUUGAUCAUCCUUGGGGAGAGCAUUUCUGGCAUUCAGUUGUCGGGAUUGGGAUCCUCAUCGUUUACUGUGAAAAAACUAGAGUGUUCAAAGCAGGCCUCGGCCUCUGAAUACAUUAGCAUGGAAUAAUAAGAUAGGACUUUGGUGGUCUAUUUUGUUGGUUUGCACGCCAAAGUAAUGAUUAAUAGGGAUAGUUGGGGGUAUUCGUAUUCAAUUGUCAGAGGUGGAAUUCUUGGAUUUAUGGAAGACGAACUACUGCGAAAGCAUUUACCAAGGAUGUUUUCAUUAA